AAGGCAAGGAAGUGGUAAGAGAAAAAGAAUAGGAUUACUUUGUUAUCCUAUAACUUUUGGCAUGGAUGAGCACUCCACUGGCCCAGUAGGUUCACAUUCGUCAGUUCAUGCACAUCAUAUUGAACAAGAACAGAUGCAU